ensembl:lncRNA LINC01193 long intergenic non-protein coding RNA 1193
AGUAACACUCUGGGAGGGCUCAGGCCACAUCACGAAAUGUGACAGGAUAGCCUUGAACUCAUCAAUUGCUGGCAAGGUAAGCUGUCAUCAGUUGGAGGUAAGCAGAAGACAGUAGAGAGUACAGAGCCCUGGACUGUGACUCAGAGGAUGAGCACCAGAUCCAGUUUGCUGUGCCACAGUGGGUAGAAUAUUGCUCUUGAACCACUUUGGAAGGAAUUUUACCAGGGCCUGUGAUAUUUUGAAGCAGGAAGCUGACCUGAGACCUUCAGAAUAAACUGAUCACUGUGGAUAAU